AAGAAAAAAAUUAUUAAAUCUAAAUUUUUUUUUAAAAAAAGAAAUUUUUAUUUUAUUAAUUUGUUUGAAUAAAUAAAAUUUAUUAUAGUUUAUUUGUAUUGUGAAAGAUUUUCAAUUUUAGAAAAAAGAAUAAUUAGUUUUUAGUACCUUGUGUAUCAGGGUUUAUUAAAUAAAAUUUUAUUAUAGAAAUUUCUCGAAUUUAAAAGAGCUAUAUUCAUAUUUUUUUAUUGUUGAAUAAAUAUUAUAAAUAUGAGUAUAGAGGUGAAACGUUAUACGAUUUUAAAUAUAUCUAGUUUUUAAAGAAAAAAAUUUAAUUUGAUUUUUAUUUUAUUAUAAAUUUAAUUUAUUAAAUUUAUAUUAGUAAAAUUUUAUAUUUUAGGGGAUGAGCUUUGAAAUAAAUUUUAUAUAAGUAUUUAAUAUUUGUUUAGUAAGUAGAAUUAUAAGUUUUUAUUUUUAAUAGUGUUUUAUAACUAUCUAAAUUUAAAAAAAAAUUUUUAUUUACUUUAUUUUUUUUUAUUUAAAUAUAAAUUAUAAAUUAAAAUAGUUUAGAAAUAAUGAUAAAAUUAGUAUAAUUUAUAGUAAUUUUUUUUUUAAAAAAAAAGGUUUUAUAAAGGAAUUCGGCAAAUAUAUUUUUCACCUGUUUAUUAAAAACAUGGCUUUUUGAGUAUAAUUUAAGGUCUGGCCUGCCCAAUGAAUUUUAAAUGGCCGCAGUAUCCUGACUGUGCAAAGGUAGCAUAAUCAUUAGUUUUUUAAUUGAAAGCUGGAAUGAAAGGUCGGAUGAGAAAAUAGCUGUCUCUAUAAAAAUUAAUUAGAAUUUUAUUUUUAAGUUAAAAAGCUUAAAUUUAUAUAGAAGACGAGAAGACCCUAUAGAGUUUUAUAAAAAAUUAAAUUAAGGCUUAUUAGUAUUUUAAUAGGUUAAUUUAAUGGCUUAUUUGGUUGGGGUGAUUGAAAAAUUAAAUAAACUUUUUUUUUAUUACUACAUUUAUUUAUGAAUAUUUGAUCCUUAAUUAAAGAUUAUAAGAUUAAAUUACCUUAGGGAUAACAGCGUAAUUUUUUUUGAGAGUUCAUAUCGAAAAGAAAGAUUGCGACCUCGAUGUUGGAUUAAAAUAAAUAUUUGGUGUAGAAGCUAAAUUAAUUAGGUCUGUUCGACCUUUAAAAUUUUACAUGAUCUGAGUUCAAACCGGCGUGAGCC
rnacentral:rRNA from 1 species